rnacentral:tRNA from 1 species
AGCAAAGUCAGCUAAAAAAGCUCUUGGGUCCAUACCCCAAUCAUGUUGGUGAAAUCCCCGCCUUUGCUA